GGCGGGAUGGCCGAGUUGGUCUAAGGCGACAGUUUCAAGGUCUCAUACCCUUUCUUGCCAUAGUGCAAGUUGUUCACUGUUCUCGAAAGAGGCGUGCGUUCGAAUCGCGCUCCCGUCA